rfam:Brachypodium distachyon strain Bd21 chromosome 3, whole genome shotgun sequence.
GAUAUACUUUCUCCGUUCCAUAAUUCUUGUCUCAAAUUUGCCCAAAAAUGGAUGUAUCUAUUCCUAGAAAGUGUGAUACAUGUAAUAUUUUGACAAGAAUUAUGGAACGGAGGGAGUACAAU